rnacentral:lncRNA from 1 species
GGGUUUUCCUUGUUUUGUUUUUUUUUUUUUUGUUUUCCUCUCUUCCCUCACAGAGGAUGACUGGAAGUGGGCUAAGCGAAUGCGCUACCCAAAGACAAAUUGUCCAGCUUGUCACGGUGAUCCCUGCUCCCCCAAGGAGCCCUUCUCAAGUCUGGACAGUCUGCCAACAAGAGAGGUUGCAGAAGAGGAUUUUAUUGUAUAUGGAUCUCUCUUCUUAAGAGUAACUAGCUCACAUGGACUUCAGAAACGGAAGUUUUGCCUUCCUCAUCACUUGUCUAAAAAGGGAAAUGAAAGUAGUUUGUGGAGAAGGAAGAGAUUUACACUGCUGUUACACAUUCUUAAACUGUACUUCAGUGAUCAGCAACAGAUACAUUGAGCUUGAUAUUGAAGUGCUUGGGAAAGACACCUGUGCUAGAAUAAGAUGCUGAUGCCUCUUGAAGGCACCUAGAGGAAACAUCUGAGAGAGCAAUGCUGAGAAGAGAAACUGAGAUACUGCAGGGGACCUGGGUCUUCUAGCUGCAGAGAAGGAAGGUAGGUAAAUGUGAAGCAGAUUAUAAAGCUUGCACACAGUCAUGCAGCCUCGUAAAAUCUGAAGUCAUAGGAGUAAUUUAAAAAUGCUGACUACAUUUGUAUCAGUCAGUUUUCAGUUAUUUUUGCAAAUCAACUGUUCAAAUUCCAACCUUACUACUUAAGAUCAAAAAAAGGAAUUCUUUAUCAGUAAUGCACUAGCAGUUUUAAUAACAGCAUACAUAUUCUUAAUAACAGCAGCAUGCACUAUGCUUCUCUUUUAGAAAACACAUGAUGGAUGGUAAUGACUGAGAGAUCCCAGUGGACUAACUUACAUUUUACAAGUGUGCAUGUGUUUAGACUUAGGUGCCAUGCCUCAAGUAGCAGAUAUUUUCUUGAGAAAGUGCAAUCUUUAUGUUAAGCGACACAUAAUAAUGGUUUAGUAAAAGUGUAAAAACAGUUACAUUACUGUGAAUUGAGAAUUUUGAGAUUGUAUUGCAAAUAUAC